rnacentral:rRNA from 1 species
UACGUAGGGGGCUAGCGUUGUCCGGAAUCAUUGGGCGUAAAGAGCUCGUAGGCGGCUUGUCACGUCGGUUGUGAAAGCCCGGGGCUUAACCCCGGGUCUGCAGUCGAUACGGGCAGGCUAGAGUGUGGUAGGGGAGAUCGGAAUUCCUGGUGUAGCGGUGAAAUGCGCAGAUAUCAGGAGGAACACCGGUGGCGGAAGGCGGAUCUCUGGGCCAUUACUGACGCUGAGGAGCGAAAGCGUGGGGAGCGAACAGG